rnacentral:rRNA from 1 species
AUUGAACGCUGGCGGCGUGCCUAACACAUGCAAGUCGAGCGGUAACAGGUGUAGCAAUACAUGCUGACGAGCGGCGGACGGGUGAGUAACGCUUGGGAAUCUGCCUAUUAGUGGGGGACAACCCGGGGAAACUCGGGCUAAUACCGCAUACGCACUACGGUGGAAAGCCGGGGACCGCAAGGCCUGGCGCUAACAGAUGAGCCCAAGUCGGAUUAGCUAGUUGGUAGGGAACGGCCUACCAAGGCGACGAUCCGUAACUGGUCUGAGAGGACGACCAGUCACACCGGAACUGAGACACGGUCCGGACUCCUACGGGAGGCAGCAGUGGGGAAUAUUGGACAAUGGGCGAAAGCCUGAUCCAGCGACGCCGCGUGGGUGAAGAAGGCCUGCGGGUUGUAAAGCCCUUUCAGGUGGGGAAGGAAAAGCCUCGAGCUAACACCUCGGGUCUUGACGUAACCCAUAGAAGAGCNCCGGCUAACUCUGUGCCAGCAGCCGCCGU